CCUACGGGGGGCAGCAGUGGGGAAUAUUGGACAAUGGGGGCAACCCUGAUCCAGCCAUGCCGCGUGUGUGAAGAAGGCCCUCGGGUUGUAAAGCACUUUCAGUGAGGAAGAACGCCUGGUGGUUAAUACCCAUCAGGAAAGACAUCACUCACAGAAGAAGCACCGGCUAACUCCGUGCCAGCAGCCGCGGUAAUACGGAGGGUGCGAGCGUUAAUCGGAAUUACUGGGCGUAAAGCGCGCGUAGGUGGCUUGAUAAGCCGGUUGUGAAAGCCCCGGGCUCAACCUGGGAACGGCAUCCGGAACUGUCAAGCUAGAGUGCAGGAGAGGAAGGUAGAAUUCCCGGUGUAGCGGUGAAAUGCGUAGAGAUCGGGAGGAAUACCAGUGGCGAAGGCGGGCUUCUGGACUGACACUGACACUGAGGUGCGAAAGCGUGGGUAGCAAACAGGAUUAGAUACCCCAGUAGUC
rnacentral:rRNA from 1 species